GUGGCUUCUGAUGCUUAUUGCACCACAUGUGUUUUUCUUUGAAACAAACUUGCUUUGGCGGUGGGCCCAGCCUGCCGCCAGAGGUCUAAACUUACAACCAAUUUUUUAUCAACUUGUCACACCAGAUUAUUACUAAUAGUCAAAACUUUCAACAACGGAUCUCUUGGUUCUCGCAUCGAUGAAGAACGCAGCGAAAUGCGAUACGUAAUAUGAAUUGCAGAUAUUCGUGAAUCAUCGAAUCUUUGAACGCACAUUGCGCCCUCUGGUAUUCCGGAGGGCAUGCCUGUUUGAGCGUCGUUUCUCCCUCAAACCGCUGGGUUUGGUGUUGAGCAAUACGACUUGGGUUUGCUUGAAAGACGGUAGUGGUAAGGCGGGAUCGCUUUGACAAUGGCUUAGGUCUAACCAAAAACAUUGCUUGCGGCGGCAACGUCUACCACGUAUAUCUUCAAACUUUGACCUCAAAUCAGGUAGGACUACCCGCUGAACUUAAGCAUAUCAAAAGCCGGAGGAA
rnacentral:rRNA from 1 species